rnacentral:rRNA from 1 species
AGUGAACGCUGGCGGUAGGCCUAACACAUGCAAGUCGAACGGCAGCACAGUAAGAGCUUGCUCUUACGGGUGGCGAGUGGCGGACGGGUGAGGAAUACAUCGGAAUCUACUUUUUCGUGGGGGAUAACGUAGGGAAACCUACGCUAAUACCGCAUACGACCUACGGGUGAAAGCAGGGGAUCUUCGGACCUUGCGCGAUUGAAUGAGCCGAUGUCGGAUUAGCUAGUUGGCGGGGUAAAGGCCCACCAAGGCGACGAUCCGUAGCUGGUCUGAGAGGAUGAUCAGCCACACUGGAACUGAGACACGGUCCAGACUCCUACGGGAGGCAGCAGUGGGGAAUAUUGGACAAUGGGCGCAAGCCUGAUCCAGCCAUACCGCGUGGGUGAAGAAGGCCUUCGGGUUGUAAAGCCCUUUUGUUGGGAAAGAAAAGCAGCAGGUUAAUACCCCGCUGUUCUGACGGUACCCAAAGAAUAAGCACCGGCUAACUUCG